AACGAACGCUGGCGGCAGGCUUAACACAUGCAAGUCGAACGCCCCGCAAGGGGAGUGGCAGACGGGUGAGUAACGCGUGGGAAUCUACCCAAUUCUACGGAAUAACCCAGGGAAACUUGGACUAAUACCGUAUACGCCCUACGGGGGAAAGAUUUAUCGGAAUUGGAUGAGCCCGCGUAAGAUUAGCUAGUUGGUGGGGUAAUGGCCUACCAAGGCGACGAUCUUUAGCUGGUCUGAGAGGAUGAUCAGCCACACUGGGACUGAGACACGGCCCAGACUCCUACGGGAGGCAGCAGUGGGGAAUAUUGGACAAUGGGCGCAAGCCUGAUCCAGCCAUGCCGCGUGAGUGAUGAAGGCCUUAGGGUUGUAAAGCUCUUUCAGUGGGGAAGAUAAUGACGGUACCCACAGAAGAACCCCCGGCUAACUUCGUGCCAGCCGCCGCCGUAA
rnacentral:rRNA from 1 species